AUGGCUCAGUGGUUAGAGUGUCGGCCUGCGCACCUGAGGUUCUGGGUUCGAUUCCCAGU
rnacentral:tRNA from 1 species